GAUACCGCCCUUAAUGAUUGCAAGUCUAUAUAAAGGAGCGUCUUUUCGUAAAA
rnacentral:tRNA from 1 species